rnacentral:rRNA from 1 species
GAGUUUGAUCAUGGCUCAGGAUGAACGCUAGCUACAGGCUUAACACAUGCAAGUCGAGGGGCAUCAGGAAGAAAGCUUGCUUUCUUUGCUGGCGACCGGCGCACGGGUGAGUAACACGUAUCCAACCUGCCCUUUACUCGGGGAUAGCCUUUCGAAAGAAAGAUUAAUACCCGAUAGCAUAAUGAUUCCGCAUGGUUUCAUUAUUAAAGGAUUCCGGUAAAGGAUGGGGAUGCGUUCCAUUAGGUUGUUGGUGAGGUAACGGCUCACCAAGCCUUCGAUGGAUAGGGGUUCUGAGAGGAAGGUCCCCCACAUUGGAACUGAGACACGGUCCAAACUCCUACGGGAGGCAGCAGUGAGGAAUAUUGGUCAAUGGGCGCUAGCCUGAACCAGCCAAGUAGCGUGAAGGAUGAAGGCUCUAUGGGUCGUAAACUUCUUUUAUAUAAGAAUAAAGUGCAGUAUGUAUACUGUUUUGUAUGUAUUAUAUGAAUAAGGAUCGGCUAACUCCGUGCCAGCAGCCGCGGUAAUACGGAGGAUCCGAGCGUUAUCCGGAUUUAUUGGGUUUAAAGGGAGCGUAGGUGGACUGGUAAGUCAGUUGUGAAAGUUUGCGGCUCAACCGUAAAAUUGCAGUUGAUACUGUCAGUCUUGAGUACAGUAGAGGUGGGCGGAAUUCGUGGUGUAGCGGUGAAAUGCUUAGAUAUCACGAAGAACUCCGAUUGCGAAGGCAGCUCACUGGACUGCAACUGACACUGAUGCUCGAAAGUGUGGGUAUCAAACAGGAUUAGAUACCCUGGUAGUCCACACAGUAAACGAUGAAUACUCGCUGUUUGCGAUAUACAGUAAGCGGCC